CUCCAACAAGGAUUGCCAUUUAGGUUGGCGUACGCAAAAUGGCAACGUUUGGUCACUGUAGCAGCUGGCAAACGAGUCCAACAACGUUGCCAAACCCGAUAGGCAUUUUGCGUCGGUGGAGAGAGGAUAGCCAAAUUGCCUUCUCCAUCGUGGGGAGGCAUUCCACCACCGACGCAACGGUCAUUCCCCCCUCCCCACAUCGAGAGAAGCCCCCGCCGCGCCAGAUCUCGCCGCCUCGGGUGCGACUCGCUCCCGAAAGGUCACCGCCGGCGACGACACAGGCACCAUCUCCGGCGACUCCGCAGUCUCAAGGAUGGACAACCGUUUCAAUCCCUAUGUAUGUGAUGGUGAAAACUCUCAGGCCUGUCCUGACACACAGCAGUGGGAGUUCCCAUUGUCGGCAACCUUGGAUGCGAUUGGCCGAACUACAAAUCCUCAGCACAUGGCACAUUCUGGAUUGAAUUUUGAAAUGCACCAAGGAGAAUUUGAUAUUCAUGAAACUGAUUCAGUGUUGGAGAUGCUUCCUCCCAAACCUAGUAAGUCAAUAAAAA